rnacentral:rRNA from 1 species
CCUACGGGUGGCAGCAGUGAGGAAUAGUGGUCAAUGGCCGAGAGGCUGAACCAGCCAAAUCGCGUGAGGGAAGAAUGUCCUAUGGAUUGUAAACAUCUUUUGUCAGGGAGCAAAGUCAACCACGUGUGGGUGUUGGAGAGUACCUGAAGAAAAAGCAUCGGCUAACCCCGUGCCAGCAGACGCGGUAAUACGGAGGAUGCGAGCGUUAUCCGGAUUUAUUGGGCUUAAAGGGUGCGUAGGCGGGUUAUCAAGUCAGCGGUAAAAUCGUGGAGCUCAACCCCAUCCAGCCGUUGAAACUGAUGAUCUUGAGUGGGCGAGAUGUAUGCGGAAUGCGUGGUGUAGCGGUGACAUGCCUAGAGAUCACGCAGAACUCCGAUUGCGAAGGCAGCAUACCGGCGCCCGACUGACGCUGAAGCACGAAAGCGUGGGUAUCGAACAGGAUUAGAUACCCUUGUAGUC